rnacentral:lncRNA from 1 species
CAGAACCUAAUUUUAUCUCCACAUCCUAAUUUCCAUCCAAUUUCUUUAUGAAACCACCCUUCACCUUCACCCUCCCUACAUACUUUGUGUAAGUCUCUCCACCACCAUGAUUGAAGUUUGACCGGAAUCUGCACUUCCGAGCCAUACUUCGAAUCUAGCAGUUCCUUCCAUCUCCCCUUCUCCUCCGAAAUGUAUCUCCA